rnacentral:rRNA from 1 species
AAAAAAACAAACGCAGCCCAUCCUCUCGUCGCUCUCGCCUGCCUCUCUCUCUCAAGCGCUCUCUCUCCCUCUCUCUCCACCUCUCGGCCGCCGGCCGAUUCCGGCCAUUGCCGGCGGUCUCCGGCUCCGCCCAGCCCCCUUUGUGUUAUCCUCGAUCCGUCCUAUCUCCUCCACCAACUCGAUUUGACGCUCGCCUCCUCCACCUGCCCCCGUGGCUAACCCUAGCCGCCACUGUUGCCGGCACAGGGCGCCGUUUUGGACGCCGGCGCGGCGGGGGGUGUAGAUGGAAGGGGGUGGAGCAGGGAGGCCGAAGACCCAGGCGGCGGACGCCUCACGGAGUGGAGGAGAGGGCAACGACAGGGACAGGGAGGAGCAGCGUCAUGGCUCUGCAGGGAAGGGGAGGGCCGCCGGAGACGCUCGUCCGCGAGCCUCCGAACAGGAAACCGGCGUGGAGCACGCCAUCGUAGGGGAAGGGAGGGGGAGACGUGGCGGUGGCUGGCUAGGCCAAGCCGCGAACGCCCAUCCAUGACUUCUGUUGGGGUCCGUCCCGUUCUUCCUCCCCUCACUCCGAUGCCAAAACCAGUAGCACUGUAGCAGCGGCAAGAAGGUCAAGCACCAACGAGGCGCACAUGGAUGCCGUCAACAGAUGGCUACCCCACGACAAUCUGAACUAGGUGGAAUGCUGCUCUGUUUUUCGGUCACUAAGCAAGUAUAUAGCUGGCCACUAUCUUAUACUCCCUCCAUUGUGUGUACAGGCAACAGAACAGAGUCUUGCAGCAAUAUGGAGCACCGACAAGGCAGGGAUGACCAUGAAGGGGUGCAGGUUGUUGGAUUUGAAGUCCCAUCAUCACCAGACUCAAGCUACAGCAACCCUAUCCCUGGAAACAAAGACGAAGCUCGAGAGCCCCCAUUGGUUCCUCCUCACCUACAGCAUAUACUGCUGAGCUUCCCGCCGAGCCAUGACGACGGGAGAAGCCUCCAUCUGCCCUCACCUACUCUAUAUUGCAGCUUGCAGCAUCCGAUGAGAAACCAAGUUUGAAAUAAGUCUGCAUCAUGGAGGUCUAAAUGUUAGAGAUAGAUCCUUGGUCGAGGAACUCUUUUCAAACAACAAGAUUCAGGUAUUGAUAUGCACUAGCACACUGGCUUGGGGUGUCAAUCUUCCAUCUCACCUUUUCAUAAUCAAGGUGACAUGAUGCUUCACAUUUUCCUCAUCUUCGACGGUCAUUUAUCUGAGCACUUACUCCAUUCUUUUGUGGGGUACUGAAUACUAUGGUGAGAAAACAAAAAGAUAUGUUGAUUAUGUUAUCACAGAUAUUCUGCAAAUGAUGGGUCGUGCAGGCCGACCACAGUAUGACCAACAUGGCAAAGUUGUUAUUCUUGUUCAUGAACCACAGCUUUUAUAAGAAGUUCUUGUAUGAACUGUUUCCUGUCGAAAGUAAUCUGAGGGAGCACUUGCACCUUUACUUACCAAAUUUUUGUACUCCGAUGCCUCUAUGGCCAAGACCAGUAGCAACAGCAAGAAGGACAAGCAACAACGAGGAUACCUUUCUAUGAGUCAUUUUCAAUAUUUACUUGCUGUAGGUAAAGGGCAUAGAUUCAACUUACUAUGUCUGUUACGAACAGAGUUCCCUGGAAAUGUGUCAAAACAAAUAGCUGAUAACCGGCAAUUUUCCACCAAAGGAAGCCCGCGUGAUUUAGAUACAGUGAAUAGGUCGACAAGUGUGAGCGCGUCAACAUUGUCGACGAUGAGGAUGGUGGGUCGACUUGCAAACGAAGUGGUUACUAUUAUGACUGUAUUGCAUUGGUGUUAUGGCUGCCACCUUCAGCUACUGUGGGUUCCGCCACGCUCAGGUAUGCCCAUCUCCAUUGCCUUUCUCUGGAUUCACUGCCCCUCUUGGUUUCUGAUUAUUGUUUGUUCUCAUAUACUCUCGAAUUUCCAUGAGUGCGAUCUGAUGAACGAGUAUCCCGUGUCUGCGGCAACUCGCAUGGCCUGAUCCGGAAGUACGGGUGUGCUGCAGGCAUUGCUUCCGCACCAACGCCGAGGACAUUAGCUUCAUCGAGUUAUGAGCCACCCCGCUGUUUAUUGAUUCCCUGAAUCAUGUGCCUGAGUUUGAUGACUGCUGAGUAGUAAUAUGUUACCCCAUGCUUUGCUUUGAACAAUAUAUAUGCUUUGUCUACAAGGCCUCUUGGGAUGGCGCACCAGUUUUAAUUUGUUGGAGACUACCAUCUGGUAGUGUGAGUUAUUGCAUAAUGUAGUGUAAUGUAUGAAAUGUUAGAUCCAGUUAUUCAGGUUAAGUUCUGUGAUCGUCACCUCAUGUUCUGCCUUGCAUUAUUUUGUAUCUGUUUGAUGAAUAUGUAAUUUCUAAGCACCAUAAGGCAUCUUGGAAUGGACCGAGUUGUGCAUGACUACAUGAUAUUAGCUAUGUUUGUUUGCUGUUCACACCUGUAUAAGUCUUACUCUGGUGCAUCUAUCUCCCGUCUCAGCCAUUUUUACUAACCGUCACCUACCAAGUUUUUUUCUCAGCAUACCAGUGCAUUUCAAAGCAGAACAAAUUGAGUGUAUUGCAAUUGCUCAAAUAUUUAUUAAGUAGGUAUAUAUACAUUGCAUAUAUUUAUUUCCUAAAUAACGAUGAUUUCUUAGAAAUUGAGAUGAUUUUCUUUUGAAGAAUGUUGUUUUCAUUUCUCCAUUUUUAUCUCAUUAAUUGUAGGUUUUAUGCUUCAGUUUUUAGGUUUGGGUGAAUUAUUUUUCAGAUGCAUAUGUUGUGUCUGAAUACCUGAAUGUCUGUGUGUAGCUAAUUUCUUGUAUUCAUGUUCUUUUGUAUCAUCCCAAUCUUUUUAUACCGAUAGUGAUAGCUACAUUUGCGCACUUGUUUAAUAGUACCAUUAAGAAUGGAAACCUCAAAGGAAGCAAGGACUAGGAAAUUAUCAUCAAACUGUGGUGUUUCAUGGAGGCCGACCUUUAUCAACAAUGAAGUAAUUGUACCUGGAAAUUGCUUUGAAAUUUUCAAUGCUUUGGAGCUAACUCAUGCUAUAAUUUUGCAGGUAAACCACAUGAUAUUGUUUUCCAGUCGCAUGUUUUUCCUGCACAAACCAUACAAAUUUUAUGAGCUUGCUUCACUACUAUAUGCAAAGGCGCUUCUCUGUCCAGAUCCGUGGCCACCACAUCGCCAUCAACGUCGGCGGCGUUCUGGAAGUGUCAGGGCGGCGGGUCGCGCCUUGCCCAUGUUGUCGUUGACGAUCCACCUGGACGACGGCCGACUGAGAGUUGCGCAGGAACUACAUGUUCGAGGACCACGGCUUGCGCACUGUGUUUCUUAUCACUGUUUGAACUAUGUGUGUCGUACAAUGCUUUAUUUUUGAAACCUUGUUGUCAGUUCCUUUUACCGAAAAAGGAUUUCCCCCGCUUUAUAUUAUAAAGCACCAG